rnacentral:rRNA from 1 species
UGGGGAAUAUUGGACAAUGGGGGCAACCCUGAUCCAGCCAUGCCGCGUGAGUGAUGAAGGCCUUCGGGUUGUAAAGCUCUUUUGGCGGGGACGAUGAUGACGGUACCCGCAGAAUAAGCCCCGGCUAACUUCGUGCCAGCAGCCGCGGUAAGACGAAGGGGGCUAGCGUUGUUCGGAAUUACUGGGCGUAAAGCGCGUGUAGGCGGUUGUCCAAGUCGGGUGUGAAAGCCUUGAGCUCAACUCAAGAAAUGCACUCGAUACUGGGCGACUAGAGGACCGGAGAGGAUAGUGGAAUUCCCAGUGUAGUGGUGAAAUACGUAGAGAUUGGGAAGAACACCAGUGGCGAAGGCGGCUAUCUGGACGGUUACUGACGCUAAGACGCGAAAGCGUGGGGAGCAAACA